CAGUCCGCGGGAAUACGUAGGGCGCAAGCGUUAUCCGGAAUUAUUGGGCGUAAAGAGCUCGUAGGCGGUUUGUCGCGUCUGCCGUGAAAGUCCGGGGCUCAACCCCGGAUCUGCGGUGGGUACGGGCAGACUAGAGUGAUGUAGGGGAGACUGGAAUUCCUGGUGUAGCGGUGAAAUGCGCAGAUAUCAGGAGGAACACCGAUGGCGAAGGCAGGUCUCUGGGCAUUAACUGACGCUGAGGAGCGAAAGCGUGGGGAGCAAACAGGAUUAGAUACCCCUGUAGUCCCUGUCUCUUAUACAC
rnacentral:rRNA from 1 species